rnacentral:lncRNA from 1 species
GAUAGAUUUGCAAGUUGUGCAAGAGAUCCAAGAGAGAGAAAGAUGAGAUAUACAAUAGAGGAGAGAGAAAUUCAUUUCAUUUUUUUUUCAUUACUUCCAAAUAGAGAGAGAAGGAAAAAGAAAAUAGAAAGCUAGUACGAGAGAGCAAAGUCGGCAGCCAAAGAGGGUUAGAAGGAGAGAGAUUUGAGCUUCAUACUACCCAAGUUCAUCAACCAUUAUGGAAGAAAAAGAAGAUAGCUCAAAGAAACAAGGUAUAAAACCUUUACCUCUAACUUGGUUAAUGUAUUUUAAUGAUUUGAUAAAGAACUUAUGUUCUUGAACUUUAAAACUUUAGAUCUACAUGUUAAAUAAUGUAUUAUAUAUAGAUCUAACUAUUUUGAGUGUUAAAAAGUUGGAUCAAGGGAAAGAAAAGUAAAACAGUUUUUAAAGCUUAAGAAAAUUAGUAGACUACUGACCCUAAAAGGGAAUUUCGAGAUUAGUUAGAUGUUUCAGAAAAUUCUGGACUUUUGGUAUGUUAUAUUACACUGAAUAAGCUUUCCAUAGACUCCAGAACGGACUAAAUCCGACUCUGGAGCAAAGAGUUAUGACAUUUUAAAGUAACAGACUCAAAACUGGAAAAACCCAUUCGGUUCAGUCCCUUUGCACAAAUUUCUGGGCUGAUAUGUUCGAAAUCUGGAAAAAUAUCAGUAGGAAAAAGUUGUAGACACGGAAGUUAUCUUCGUGUGGGCUCAAGAAUCGCUCAAAAAUAUUUUGAAACGAGAGAGUUUGACUAUUUUAGCGAAAGAGGGUAAAGCUGGGGAAAAGGGGAAAACUGUUACGAGUGUACAUUUUUGGGACCUAUUUUACGCUGCCUAUGAGGUCCAAAAUGGGUGGGUUAUAUUUUUUUUAAAAUAGCCUACUAUGGUACCUAUAACAUAUCCAAAUUUGGAAAUUUUUUGAUUAACGAUCAAAGCGGGAGAAAAUCACAAAAUGGCUAGGUUGAUAACAAACCCAGCAGCAGCAACUGCUCGCGGCCGCGCGCGCUGCCAUGCAGUUGUGCUGUGCUGGGCAGUUUGCUUGACGUCCUUUUCGCUCACUGUUUUAAUGAGCUUUCGUGAUCCGUUUUCGCAGUGUGAAAUUUUUCUAAAAUACUAUGACAUAAGUUCUAUAACUUGCCCAAAAAUUUACUGUUAUAGGACUUAUGGAAAAUGAGCAAAGGAGCAUGUCAGAACUUAAAAACGGGCGACACCGAGCGUCGGCGCAUUGAGCAAUUUUGACGUUCAACGUUUCCGGUGAAAUAACAAGUCAUAAUAAAUCUAAUAAAGUCAUACGGGGUGAGAUUUGACUAUAAGUGAUAUUUUAUGCCGAGAAACUUUCUUUCAGACAUAAAUAUGUAAUAAAUAUAAAUUUACAUAUUUAAGCAAAAUAAAAACUAAGGUUGCCUAUAAAAUUAUUUUGUAGUGCAAUGAAGGACGAGAAGCCUUUAAAAAUUUGUAUAAAUCAUAAAAAUGAUAUGUUUGAGGUUUUCGGGGUUAAAAAUAAAGUUUUUGAGCUG